GUGAGGAAAGAGGGGGAAACUCGCAGGGAAGGCCAUCGAUGGCAAUAUCCCAAAGUUAAGCCACAAUUUCCUCAUGUGAAAUAAUGGAAACAACAUAAGAAGAUAUCUAGAUAUUUCACCACAUCAUUGGGAUAUGUAAAGCAAACAAAGAACAGUAACAAUUCACACCCUGAUAGAAUGCAUUCAUGGGUGCUGAAAUUUUUAUUUUUAAAACAUAGACUCAAAGUCCUGUAUUAAAUAUACAUGCUAUUUAGACUUGCAAGUAAUAUACUAGCUAGAAUAAGCUUUUACACUGCGUACCAGAAGGAAAAGAAUUGAAACUCCUGAGGUUUCCAGGAGAUGGAAAUGAAAUAAGGAAAAUUGAUUCAGUCCUUCCAGGAACAGGCUGUUCUGCUACAGGAACGUUCAGAGAUUGAUGAUUUCAGACUGUUCUGUGGCAGCUUAGAGCCGACCUGCCCAUCAGCUAAAAGCCACAAAUUUUAGGCAAACCAAACCAAAAACCAGCAAUAUGAUGGAAAGGAAUCUGAGCAUAUCUACACAGCAAACUCAUAUCUGUUUUGUAUUACUUUUACUGUCAUGGCUCUCUUCCUGAAGGAAUUCUGGGGAUUUUAGUUUGGUGCAGAGAAUUCUCUGCUAAAGGUCCCUGGCGCCAUCUCAAAGAAGUGCAUUUUCCAGGUAAAAGAGACUUGCUGUAGAAUCAGUUUAUGUAUGCAACAUAGAAAUAUAUAUGCUUAAAAUUGGCAAAAUUGUGGAUAAAGCUGUAGCUACAAGACACCCUCCUUUGUUCCAGCCAUACCAGAUAUAAUGCAAGGUAGCCAGGCAAUUAGGAACGCGGGUGGCGCUGUGGGUUAAACCACAGAGCCUAGGACUUGCUGAUCAGAAGGUCGGCGGUUUGAAUCCCUGCAACAGGGUGAGCUCCCGUUGCUCGGUCCCUGCUCCUGCCAACCUAGCAGCUCGAAAGCACGUCAAAGUGCAAUUAGAUAAAUAGGUACCACUCCAGCAGGAAGGUAAACGGCAUUUCCGUGCAUUGCUCUGGUUCGCCAGAAGCGUCUUAGUCAUGCUGGCCACAUGACCCGGAAGCUGUACGCCGGCUCCCUCGGCCAAUAAAGCGAGAUGAGCGCUGCAAUCCCAGAGUCGGUCAUGACUGGACCUAAUGGUCAGGGGUCCCUUUACCCUUUACCUUUACUAGCCAGGCAAUUGCUGGGUAUAAAUAACUACAACACUCAUCCAGAUGAACAGUCUUUUGGUCUAUGGUGCCUUUACAACCCUUUACCCUCCAAACUGCAUCAAGUGUUAAGUAACUGGGGAAAGGACCAUAGCAAGUUUAUUAGAUCGCUCCUAACAGGCUCUUCCAAAUGCAGCUGAUGACCCAGUCCCCAGUGUCAAGUGCAGCUCUUGACAAUGUUUCUGAAACACAUCCAAGUAAUUUCAGUGCAGUUUGAUCCUUUACGCCAAAGUCAUGAGGUCAGCCAGAUAAGCCCAUCUGUCUUCAAUUUGCCAUGCCUACCUCAUGCGUACGGUGAAAUCAUACAUUGCCAGUGC